CACGUAGUUAGCCGGGGCUUCCUCCUAAGGUACCGUCACUUCCUUCUUCCCUUAGGACAGAGCUUUACGACCCAAAGGCCUUCUUCGCUCACGCGGCGUUGCUGCAUCAGGCUUUCGCCCAUUGUGCAAGAUUCCCCACUGCUGCCUCCCGUAGGAGUUUGGACCGUGUCUCAGUUCCAAUGUGGCCGAUCACCCUCUCAGGUCGGCUACUGAUCGUCGCCUUGGUAGGCCGUUACCCCACCAACUAACUAAUCAGACGCAGGCCCAUCCUCUGCCGAUAAAUCUUUGGCCAAAAGCCCAUGCGGGCUCUCAGUAUCAUGAGGUUUUAAUCCCGGUUUCCCGAGGCUAUCCCUCUGCAAAGGGCAGGUUGCCUACGCGUUACUCACCCGUCCGCCGCUUUCCGCAAGAAACUUCAACCGAAAUCUCCGUCCCUUGUUUCUCGCUCGACUUGCAUGUGUUAGGCACGCCGCCAGCGUUCAUCCUGAGCCAGGAUCAAACUCU
rnacentral:rRNA from 1 species